rfam:Gossypium raimondii Chr13_contig_1355, whole genome shotgun sequence.
UGUUAAAAAUUUAAUCUAUUUGUAUUGUUAAAAACAAGCAUGGUAUGUCACGUGUACAUCAUGUUAAUGUACAAAGACCAGUUUUUAACAGUAAAAAUGAAUGAAAUUUCUAGCA